rnacentral:rRNA from 1 species
AGCGAACGCUGGCGGCAGGCCUAACCCAUGCAAGUCGAGCGCAUCGCAAGAUGAGUGGCGCACGGGUGAGUAACACGUGGGAAUGUAUCCUUUGGUUCGGAAUAACGUCUGGAAACGGACGCUAAUACCGGAUGAGCCCUUAGGGGGAAAGAUUUAUCGCCGAAGGAGCAGCCCGCGUCUGAUUAGGUAGUUGGUGGGGUAAAGGCCUACCAAGCCGACGAUCAGUAGCUGGUCUGAGAGGAUGAUCAGCCACACUGGGACUGAGACACGGCCCAGACUCCUACGGGAGGCAGCAGUGGGGAAUAUUGGACAAUGGGCGCAAGCCUGAUCCAGCCAUGCCGUGUGAGUGAUGAAGGCCUUCGGGUUGUAAAGCUCUUUCGCACACGACGAUGAUGACGGUAGUGUGAGAAGAAGCCCCGGCUAACUUCGUGCCAGCCGCCGCCGUAAAAC